GUACAACCUGUACUCUAAUAUCAUUUGGCAACUUGCCAUUCAUGCCACCAACCAGGUGAAGAAGGAACUCAUCUUCAUGCCACAAACUAGGUGAUGAAAUGUACAACCCGUACUCUCCUUCAUGCCACCAACUAGGUGAUGAAAUGUACAACCAGUACUCUAAUAUCAUUUGGCAACUUGCCACUCAUGCCACCAACGAGGUGAAGAAUGAACUCAUCUUCAUGCCACCAAACAGGUGAUGAAAUGUACAACCCGUACUUUCCUUCAUGCCACCAACCAAGUGAUAAAAUGUACAACCCGUACUUUGAUAUCAUUUGGCAACUUGCCAUUCAUGCCACCAACCAGGUGAAGAAGGAACUCAUCAUCGUGCCACCAACCAGGUGAUGAAAUAUGAUGAAGGAACUCACAUUCGUACCACCAACCAAGUGAUGAAAGCAACUCACCAUUCAUUCCACCUACCAGAAGAUGAGUGGUACAACUUUUACAUGUGAACUCUUAGCAUUCACAAAUAAUCAAAAACCCUCAAGCUUGACAACUCAACUAGGGGAGCACUUAUGCCCAAUAAGAGUUAUAGUCACCAACAAAGUCUUAUUGCAAGCCCACAACAACUUCAGUGCAUGGCAUACGAAGAUCAAGCUAUUCAGCCCUCUUGAAUCUGCUUUAGACAUUGCUCCUUUGUAACAAUGCAAACACUACAACUCGUAGAAAGCUUCACACACUCUUGAUCAAAACUGUGUGAAGCAAAACCAAUUUAUGGUGCCAAUAAGAGCUUCAUCAAUGAAGGGCAACCACAAUUCUCAAAAGCUUCACACACUCUUGAUCAAGACAGUGUGAAGCAAAACCAAUUUAUGGUGCCAACAAGAGCUUCAUCAAUGGAGGGAAACCACAAUUCUCAAAAGCUUCACACACUCUUGAUCAAGGCAGUGUGAAGCAAAACCAAUUUAUGGUGCCAACAAAAGCUUCAUCAAAGGAGUUCAACCACAAUUCUCAAAAGCUUCACACACUAUUGAUCAAGAUAGUGUGAAGCAAAACCAAUUUAUGGUGCCAACAAGAGCUUCAUCAAUGGAGGGC
rnacentral:lncRNA from 1 species